GUGUGCAGAAUAGGAAUAGCCCCAGGAAAGACCAACAGAAGAACCACUCACCUGAGCUCAGCCCAAAUUGUUGACUCACAGAAUUAAUUACAAUCUCCUGUUCCCCCUGAAAGAGCCCAGAUAGAUUCCCAGAUGAGUAUCGGAAGAGGUAGCUGCCAUCAGGACUUGCUUGAUGGACCCAAGCACUCAUCUAAUAGUGGCACUGGAAGAAUUAAUCUGGCUGAUAUAUCAGACCUCUCUCCUCCGUGGGAACUUGCCAUUUUCUCCAGCCUCUGAGUUUUUCUAGUGAGAUUCAGAGAUACAGCCAAAUCGCCUUAUACAAGGCAGGUGCUUGAUACAGGUUGAAUGAAGAUUAUGUUUACCAGGUUCCAGCCUCAGAAUAUUGGAAUCCACUUUCUCUGAAUGCACGGAGAGCUAGAAGCACCUGGGAAUUUAUGUUGCCCAAGAGCAGCCCUUA